rnacentral:sRNA from 1 species
UCUGGGUGUGGUGGUGCACACCUGUAAUCCCUGCAACUUGGAAGGCUGAGGCAGGAGGGUUACAAGGAGGUCAGCCUCUG